ensembl:lncRNA
CAAAGUAGACACUUGAACUUGAACAUAAAUGUUCAUUUCUAGUUUUGGGAACUUCUUGGAUUUCUGGAGUAAUGGUGGCCAAAAACGGGUGUCUCUUUUUUUACAUCUAUUUAUUGUUUAUUUAUAUAUUUAUUCUAUAGUUCACCUUAUAGUUUAAACACAUAACAGGGCUGGUGAGUUAUUUGACACUGUUGUUUGUUGUAUUGGGUGGCAUAAGUCGAUCUUUGCACUCUCAAUAAAAACACUAUCUGGACAGGGACCAAUGGAAAAGAAUCAAACCCUACAGCCAGCAUUGAGACCUGAUCAUCAACCUGAACUGUCUCGAUAGAUAAUAACGUGAAACGUUACAGUGUCACUGAACAGUCAAAGUAUAAGGUUUACACAAGAGCCAUCUCUAUUUUCUUGUCUAUCUCUAUGCGCGGCCUUAUUUUAGUGCACAUCGAGAGUGUGUGUGUGUGUAAGUUAUUUUAACGUAUUUUUUUUCAUGUUGUGUUUUGUCUGAUGAUUCCAAUUUUAUUUUACCUAAUGCGCAUCUUACCAGUGUUUUUUUUCCUUACUCAUGUUUUGCAUGUUACCAUGUUGUUUUGUUAUUUUUCAGUCUUCUCGUGGGAAUGAUGCUGACAAUGACUUUUUGAAAUGUCUCUUUUUGUCUGUUUUCGGCUCGGAGCCAUUGUGUCCUGAAACGGCCCCACUGUUGCGCUUGGAAAUGAGAAAGACUUUUGAUAUAUUUUGUCCACGGAAACAAAAAAAUCACACACCUAUGGAUCCCAACUGAGACAACAUGGACCAUAGCCUACACCACUGAAGUGAAUAGUAUUUCCAUUGGUAUUCUCUGAUAUUAAAACUGCCUGUAUUUGAAAUGAAUACACUUCUUUUGCCAACCAUCAGAAUUGAGGUGCACUGUAUAUAAAUAUCCAAUCAUACUGCACAACCUCUGGAUCAUUAUUAUGUCCACAGUGUACAGUAUGUAUACAUAGUUUUGUUUGUUCUUUUUGUGCCCAUUGAUAUUGUGGAGUUUUGUUUUUCAUCUGAUCUCAUUGAGGGAGGUGCAACUCCAUGUGACAUAGAUGUUCCCCGUGCCAAGCUGUGCCAUGUCUCACUUUUUACUGCGUCAGUCUCAAUCUUUUUUUAAAUUUUUUUUUUAUGUUGUUUUUAAAAAGGAAACAAAAAAGUGAAUCUUGCACUAUUGUUCAUCUUUACAAUAACUGCAACUACAGAGCAUGUAUUGCAUUAAAUCACAAUAAAAUGAUUUCCUUCAUCGUCCAAUGACACAGGAGAAGAUACGUUUGUGUGAAUUGAGAAACAUAUCUGUACAUUCCAAGUGAUGCAUUUUGUACAUAUAGUAAAGUAUUUGGAAAACCUAGUUGGUCUUGUUUUAAUUUCUUCUCUCAGACUCACAUGUUGGUGUUUUCAGUUCUUGAUGUGAGCAGUUACUGCGAGAUAAAGCAGCUAAAAUCAAUAAAGGUCUUGUAAUUAAACAAAAAUCAUUAAAGGUCUUGUAAUUAAACAAAAAUCACUGAAGGUCUUGUAAUUAAACAAAAAUCAUUAAAGGUAUUGUAAUUAAACAAAUAUAUUGUGUUGCCUGCUGUUGUGA